UACGUAGGGGGCAAGCGUUGCCCGGAUUUAUUGGGCGUAAAGAGCGUGUAGGCGGCCAGGUAGGUCAGCUGUGAAAACUCGAGGCUCAACCUCGAGACGUCGGUUGAAACCAUCUGGCUAGAGUCCGGAAGAGGAGAGUGGAAUUCCUGGUGUAGCGGUGAAAUGCGCAGAUAUCAGGAGGAACACCAGUGGCGAAGGCGACUACCUGGCCUGUUCUUGACGCUGAGGCGCGAAAGCUAGGGGAGCAAACGGG
rnacentral:rRNA from 1 species